rnacentral:rRNA from 1 species
UGAGGAAUAUUGGUCAAUGGACGCAAGUCUGAACCAGCCAAGUAGCGUGCAGGAUGACGGCCCUAUGGGUUGUAAACUGCUUUUAUAUGGGGAUAAAGGAGUCCACGUGUGGAUUUUUGCAGGUACCGCAUGAAUAAGGACCGGCUAAUUCCGUGCCAGCAGCCGCGGUAAUACGGGAGGUCCGGGCGUUAUCCGGAAUUAUUGGGUUUAAAGGGAGCGUAGGCCGCGUUUUAAGCGUGUUGUGAAAUGUAGACGCCCAACGUCUGCAUCGCAGCGCGAUCUGGGACGCUUGAGUACGCGCAACGUUGGCGGAAUUCGUGGUGUAGCGGUGAAAUGCUUAGAUAUGACGAGGAACUCCGAUUGCGAAGGCAGCUGACGGGAGCGGCACUGACGCUUAAGCUCGAAGGUGCGGGUAUCAAACAGG